CAAGAAUCUUGGAGCCGUCGGGACUCAUUUGACAGCCGAAGAAGCCAAGCGUGUUUCCUCCCACCUCUCCGACACGCACCUGGAGACACAAGCAAAUAAACAGGUGGAAUCAAGUUAUGUGUUUUAUGUGAUGGAGGAACGCACAGUGCAUGUAGGGGGCGUGGCCUCAGCAGUCCUGCAGUGUGGAAGAUCAAUCCAACCGGCCUCACAACCGCAGACCACAAGUAACCAGCCCAGGACCUCCACAUCCAGCAUCUUCACCUCCAAGAUUAUCAAAAAGACUUUUACAUAUUUAAAAUAUCUUUCAGUAAUUCUAGUGGACAUUUCGCCUUUUCUUUCCAAGAGCUAUCCAGAAACAAGGUCAAAUUAAUGACGGGAAUAAAAUGUGUCUUUGAGAGACAAAGACCUCUGCACUGCAAGCAGGUUUGAAGAAACACAACUGAUUUGGAAU